rnacentral:rRNA from 1 species
CAGCUAUGGGUCAAGCCCGAUACCUUUAAGAGAAGUCUUAUUGUGAGGGCGAGUUGUAAAACACCAUAGGGCUGGCCGUCCCAUAUGAAAAGAUUUUAUUAGAAUUGAAUGAAACUUUGUUUAUAUAUUGAUAAUGACAGUAUAUAUAUCGUGUCUUGACUAAUUGCGUGCCAGCAGUCGCGGUAAUACGUAAGAGACUAGUGUUAUUCAUCUUAAUUAGGUUUAAAGGGUACCCAGACGGUCAGUAUAGCUUAUAAAAUGUUAGUACCUGACUAGAGUUUUAUGUAAGAGGGCAGUACUUGAGGAGGAGAGAUGAAAUUUCGUGAUACCAAAGGGACUCUGUAAAGGCGAAGGCAGCCCUCUAUGUAAAAACUGACGUUGAAGGACGAAGGCACAGAGAACAAACAGGAUUAGAUACCCAAGUAGUCUUUGCAGUAAAUGAUGAAUGCCAUAGGUUAGAUAAAAAAUUUCUUAGGAGGUCGUCUCCUCAGACAAAAAAAAAUGGUGUUAUCAUUUUACUUAUUUUCUAAAUAAGGUUUGUUUUUAACUAUCUCCAGAAAUUUUUGUUUAUCUGGUCUAUAAAUGAAAGUGUAAGCAUUUCACCUCAAGAG